rnacentral:tRNA from 2 species
UCCGUUGUGGUCUAGGGGCUAGGAUUUGCCGCUCUCAGAUUCAGAGCACUCCUCGCAUCAAGCGCCGGCAAGGCCCGGGUUCGAUUCCCGGCGACGGAA